AUGGGCAAAGAAAUUGAAAUUGAGGACACAGAUGAUCCUGAUUUGAAAUAUCAAAAGAAGGAAGAUGGAUGGAUGGAUGAUAAACGAGAAAACAGAAGAUAUGCCGCUGGUGAGUGGGCAACACCGACGACAAGGAGCAGCCGCUGGGAGCGGUGGAAGCGGAUGUGGCCAUUGGCGGCGGUGAAGCAGGGGUGUCGGGCUCCCGGCAACGGGGCCAUGGCGCGGAGCGGGUUGAUGUGCAGGGACCAGAUGUGGCCACCAUUGGCGGUGGUGAAGCAGGGGUGCCGGGCUCCUGGCGGCGGGGCCAUGGUGCAGAGCGACUUGACGUGCAGGGACGGGAUGUCGGCGAACUCCACCGGAUCUAGGCAUGGGGACGGCACAUGCCGUGGAUCUGGUGGCGCGAGCAAUCGUAAUAGCCUGCGGCGAUCGGUUAGCGUCCACUUGGGGGCAGCCAUGGCCGGUUCAUGUGGGGAGUCUCAGACAGAGAUGUGA
rnacentral:rRNA from 1 species